rnacentral:ncRNA from 1 species
UGGUAUGGGUUAAUUGGUAGCCCAUGUAAAACUUUUUGAAUUGCUGGAAACCCCUAACGUAAAGACGAGGGCAAUCAGCAGCGAAGCUCACAUGGUAACAGUGUGUGAACGUUCAACGACUAUGUACUAUCAAUUGAUAGGCAGCGGAAAGCGUUUGACAAAUAUAUACUCCUGUGAUAUAAUGUUUUAAUAUGAAAAUUUUGUCAAAUAAUGAUAUAGUCUGGUCUCAUAUGAAAAUAUGAG